GAAACUUAAUAAAAUAGAAGAGUGGUCUAGAUUCUAGAAACUUCUUCCUUGAUUUUCAGAAAGUCUCUCAGUGAAUUUCCUUCAAUUCUCUUCUCUGUGUAAUGUUCACAAACCACAUGCUUUCCCCCUUCCUGCAGCCUUUGCUCACGCUGUUACCCUAGAUGGAGCACCCUUCACUUUCCCCUUUAUUCUAAGCUCCACCUGAAGCCCUAUUUCCUUCCUGAAUUUUUGGAGCCCACACCCACCCUUCCUCAGAAUUGCUGGAUCUGUGGUACUCAACAUGGUAGCUGGGAGCCACAUAUGGCUACUUCAAUUUAGGUCAAUUAAAGUUAAGUUAUAAAUUCAGUUUCUUAGUCCUACUAGCCACAUUUCAAGUACUCAAUAGCCACAUAUGGCUGGUGGCUACUGUACUCAACAGUGCAGAUCUAGAACAUUUCCAUUUCAGGAAGUUCUAUUGGACAGGGCUAUUCUAGAGCACUUAAUUAUGUAGGAUUCCAAAGAGCAUUAUAUCACAAAUACCCUUGUACUGUUCUUUAGUUGUAGGGUCAAGAAUACUAGGGAAUAACAAGGAAGAGCCUGUCUUCUUCAUUCUCAGUCCUAGCAGUGCUGGCACACACUUAGAAGCCACCAGGAGCUAUUUUAAGGAUGAGGAAACUCAAGUACUGGCAGUUCCUAACCCCAGUGCCGGGUUAACCCAGGGGACCAAUUGACGCCCAGUACGACUGUUGAUCACUGCAGAAACUGCCAAGCCAUCAUAAUUUUAGCUCGUAUUAUGACGCAGAGAGGAAAACAAAAGGAUGAUUUAUUUGAAGAUUAAAACUGUGCCUAUUUUAUGGACUCUGUAAGCUGUUAGAAACUCAAUUUUCGAGCCCUUUGAACUCAGGGUUGCCUCCAGAGUAUUUAAGGCAACCAGACAGACAAACAGCCACCACCACCACCAAAACAGAGGAGUUAAAAGCCUGCUUGAAUCACAGGACGGAGAAUGGCAGCGCAUGUGAGGGACCCAGUGUUGUAGCACAAGACCUCAGAGCUCCUCUUCGCACCCACAGGGAUUUUGCCGCAGCGUGGGUGAUUAAGGACUUCACAUCUGCGGCUGUGCGCCCGCCAGAAAGUCUAAAUCAAAGUUUCCUCGUGUCAGGUGCGCAUCGGCACCCAUUUCCACCCUUUUAAUAAAGCAGAGAAUUGCUUCCUCUGCCCUUGUUUUUUUCCUGAAGAGAAUUCAAGAUACCAUUUACAGCUCUCAGUCUGUGUUCUGGAAAAGAGGGUAGAAGGCCUUAGCACCAGUGUGCCAGCCUUCUGGAAAUGGAACAUAAUUUGCUCAUGCCAAAAAGAUUUUGGUGAGGCUUUGGCAGCCAGCCUAUUUGUCUGUGUCAAGGAUUACACUGCUUAUCACUGAGUCCCGAUACCUAGCCUGACGUGCAACUGCUGGUUUUUAAACUAGAAUACCACUGGCUCUCCUAUGACAACAAGACCCUGGGACUUCUCAGCCUCCACAACUAUGAGAGCCAAUUCCUUAUAUACCACAGAACCUGGACCUCACUGGAUGGAAGUACAAAUGGAUACUAAAUGGAUACUAUGCAAUAAAGACAUUAUUAGUAUGAACAAAGUGCUUAGUAAUGAAGAAGAGAGAAUGAUUGGUUCUCCCUGACAAAUGAGGCACUAAUUAUAAAGGCAUUUGAAGAUGGUGGCAUUUACUCUCUUCAUCUGCUUUAUCCUCCAGUCUGGAUACUGGUUUCUACUGCCCGAAGUUACUCAACCCUCAUCAUUGUGGUUACAUUUUUACACUAUCCAAGUAUUUGUAGCCAAGGAAGACAUUGAAAAGUGUUCCUGAGAUUGAGGGAAGUAUUUACAACUCAAAAGGGAAGACACUGAGAAUAAAUCAUAAUCUUGAUAAUGUUAAAAGUUUACAUUUUUAACCCUGAAGAGCAGGAAUCCACAAUCUAUGGCCCACCAACUAUGUCUGUAAUAAUAAAGUUUUAUUGGUAUA